CCUGUCUCCAAGCAGGUGAGUCUACACCCCUCUGGGCUACCACCCCUCACCUCAUGCUGUCUCCUGAAAAGGACUCUUCCCCUGGACUGAAACAGGCUUGGCACAUCACCUACAGGUCUCUGGGCAACCAGAUGAAUAAAUGAGGCUCCAGAGAUGAAGUAACAUACUCAAGGCAAGACUUUGUAAAGGUAACAUUUAUGCUGAAAAGAAGACAGAAUUUUGCCCUAGAGAGACAGAGAAAUGGAAGAAUGGGCGUGUUCUCCACCCUGGCUGUCAUUAGAAUCCAUGACCUGGAAUGUGUGGGGGUGCAGUCAGUGGCCCUGCUGAGUGGGGCACUGGAAUUCUGAAGGGGACUAGAGGGAGCUUAGGUCACAGGGGCUGACAGGGGCCAAACGAUGGGAAGAUAACUUUUUAUGGCAAAUAAAACAUAGAACUACUUUACCCAACAGAUAACAAUUAUGUACCUGUUGUGAUUAUCCCUGGAAGUAGCAGGGAUGAAAAUAGAAUGUCAAGAUAGAAUCAGAGACAGUGGACCCAGAAGGAGUUUGCUGAGGGGCCA
rnacentral:lncRNA from 1 species